GACGAACGCUGGCGGCGUGCUUAACACAUGCAAGUCGAACGAAGUGGCGAACGGGUGAGUAACGCGUAAUCAACCUGCCCUUCAGAGGGGGACAACAGUUGGAAACGACUGCUAAUCCCGCAUACUGAAAGAUGGAAGUGCGGCUGAUUAGCUAGUUGGAGGGGUAACGGCCCACUAAGGCGAUGAUCAGUAGCCGGUCUGAGAGGAUGACCGGCCACAUUGGUACGGAGAGCAGGCCCAGACUCCUACGUGAGGCAGCAGUGGGGAAUCUGCCGAAAUGGACGGAAGUCUGACGGAGCAAGGCCGCGGGAGUGAUGACGGCCUUCGGGUUGUAAAGCUCUGUUAAUCGGGGCGCGGUACCGGAAUAGAAAGCCACGGCUAACUACGUGCCAGCAGCCGCGGUAAUUC
rnacentral:rRNA from 1 species